rnacentral:sRNA from 1 species
UCGUCGAGCUGCUCGGGGCAGAUGAAGUGGACGUGGGUGUCCACCCCGCCCGCGGUGAGGAUCUUGCCGUUGCCGGCGAUGAUCUCGGUCUCCGGGCCGAUCACGAUGUCGGUGGCGACCGCGUGGCCGUCGUGCCGCCGGUUCAUGGUCUCGGGGUUGAAGGCCUUGCCCAGGGCGACGAUGUCACCGCCGCGCAGCGCGACGUCCGCCUUGACGACGCCCCAGUGGUCCAGGACCACCGCCCCGGUGAUCACCGUGUCCGGAGCUCCCUCGGCGCGCGAGACGCGGGACUGGCCCAUCGACUCGCGG